CUGAGGCAACUCUGAGGAGGCCAUGCGCGGGUUUGCCUGCGUUAAUCACUUCGUGGUCAUCCUUUUGUCAUUGUUUGUUCCUUGAUUGACCGGCGGCUUAUAAUAUACCCCGUGCUUACCCACCCGGACCUCCCCUGCCUCCCCCACCGCCACGGGAUGAGAGGCGAGGGUCUGCUGCAGCUGCUGAGAUAGCGCUCAGUCCAGUCAAUGGCCGCCGGGGAUGUACUGAACGGCUUCCAAGGGCGCCUUAUUAUAUACAGUAAUGGUGGCUCCCUCCCUGCAGCAGCCAAUCAGCCAGGAGGUAUAGGGGUAAACGUGGAACAGAAACCGGCCGCCACUCACCUGCAGCGGUAGCAAGCAGGAGCCCAGCAGCAGCAGGGACCGUCUAUUAAGUACUGCGUUCCUCGCUUCUGCCUCGCUCGGAGAAAAUUACAGCCACUGUCGAGUGUUCCGUGUCAUCCAGUAACGAGGAAGCGAGACUCACCACCACCACCACUACUACCACCACCGCCACCACCACCCGCGGCCAAGAUUUACGACAGCGAACGGCGGCGGCAGGGUUUCACUCACCGGCCACCGCUUACCCGCCGCCUCGCGCCCGCCGGUCCACCGCCUACCGUGGCGGACACCUCGCAGAGAGAGGAGGAAGGAUAAGGACAGGGUCAGGAAAGGCAGCAGGGGCAGCAAAGGGUCAGGCUAUUUGGUGAACCGAGUAAUGAGGCGCUGGCGAGGAUUUCAUUGUUGUUGAUGUUUAAGGUAAUGAUUGGAAUGGCGAUAAACCUGAUCCCCAGUGUGCAUGGCUGGGUCACCUCUGGGGCUGGACGGCCUGGCCUGGGCUGGGUGGAUUCAGACCGGACAGAGGCCGCAAGAAACAAUGAAAAGGUUUAGAGGUAACACAAGACAUUCGGGUCUCUUCACAUCGGUGUUGAUUCGGCGAAGAAGGCGAGGAAGGAGUGGUGAAGAAGCGUGAGGAACGAAUGGGUGUGGCGAGGACGAGGCAGCCAAGCGGGCAAGCAAAAGCCGUGAGCAAAGGCGAGGAUGGAGGUGAAGGUGUCGAGUAGGGCGAGGCGAGGAGGCGGAGAAGCGUCCUGGGAUGGGACGCGUGAGUGAUCGCUCAGACCUUUGUUCCCGAGGUGCGCGAUUGACUGGCAAGGAAAGUUACGAGCAGUCAUUCUCACCGCGACAAAAAUAGAACAAUAAUUGUAAGUGUGAUAAAAAAAAAAAAAAAGAUAAAAAAAAAAACUGGAAAUAUAUCGUGGCCAAUUGGCACAGAAAUAUAUUAUCUCAGGGACAUUAAGCGUUUUUCCCAAGCCAUAAUUACGGACUCUUAAGAUGAAUAACAACGCAAAACACGCACACGAACGACACGGUGUCAUGACGGACGCCCAUCCCCGUGUUCACUUCUUGCGCGCCUCCACACACCUUCACGCCUGAUAAGCCACCUGUCUGGGGCGGUGAGGCUGUUCUACGGCGCUCCUGCAGAAGGGUGAGGCGUGCGCGUACCUCGGAAGGGUGGCUUAUUACCACUGCCGCCGCCGCCGCCCUCGUUGACCCCUUGGCCGCGUGACGACCAACUCGCCAGAUUGAAUAUUAAUGCUGAGCGGAACAACUGUGUCACCUGCAAACUUACGCCAAACACGACCUUUUCCCGCGUGGUUAAGGCAGAGAGGGACUGGCUGCCUUCACCUUCGCCCCUCCCCUCCCCGCCACCGCCGUCCUGCCGCGCCCAUUGUUCCGCGGUGGGACUACCGCGGCGUGGGUGUGAGGACUCGCCAAACCUGCGGGAACCUCACACCCACACACGUGCCCCCAUGCCGCGAUUCGCCCACACUUAUUUGGUUCACUCAAGCUCUCCUUCCCAUCCACUUGGUUCCGCACGCUGUCCCACAUGCUCGUGCACGCCACCCACGCCUUUGUGUCUCCCACCCACAUAGAUCCAUGCUGUACACGAACACCGCCAUCAUCGCCCACGCCCAGGCCUCAGAUCACGACUCCCGCACACCGCCGUCACUCCUCACACACUUUCCCGAGCGUGAUGAAAUCUUGCUGAAAAAUACACACAUGAAGAAUUGUAAUGUAUACCCCACAGAACCAUGAACACUCAGUAGAAGUAAUUCACUUU